AUUCCAGCUCCAAUAGCGUAUAUUUAAGUUGUUGCAGUUAAAAAGCUCGUAGUUGGAUUUCUGGUUAGAUGCGCCUGGCCCGCCGACGUUCAGUCGUGUGAAGUGCUGGUGCGCAACUGCCAUCCUUCUAGAGAAGGGACCAACGGUUCAUUCCGGUUCGGUUCACAAUCUAGAUCUUUUACUUUGAAAAAAUUAGAGUGUUUAAAGCAGGCUUUUGCUAUGAAUACAUUAGCAUGGAAUAAUAAUUUAGGACUCUGUUUCUAUUUUGUUGGUUUCCGGAAACGGAGUAAUGAUUGAUAGGGAUUGUUGGGGGUGCUAGUAUUCAGCGGCCAGAGGUGAAAUUCUCGGAUUCGCUGAAGACUAACUUAUGCGAAAGCAUUCACCAAGGAAGUCUUCAUUA
rnacentral:rRNA from 1 species